rnacentral:lncRNA from 1 species
UAGGCUAUUUGUAACCGCGAAUUUUUGGUAACAUAUCUAGUGCUAUAGGGAACCUACUAGACCAAAAAGAAGGAUUUGCUUCCCUAUAGCACUGGAGUUGCCUCCAUUGCACACAAAGUUGCCCAAAAAAGUUUAUCAAAACAUGUCCACAUGGGAUAUAGUUUCAAAAAAGUCAUUAGAAACUCAAUGGUGAAAGAGGAUCUGAAUUCUAAAGCGGCUGUGAUUGGUUUAGGUGUCAUAGUCGCGUACAAUCAACCAUAAGGUUGUCUAAAAUCAUUUAUCCAUAUGUCCACAAUCAACCAUACAAUUGUCUGAAACCAUGUAUGCAGUUGCCCACAAUCAACCAUACAAGUUGUCUAAAACCAUGUACUCAAUCCUCAUGAACGGAAACAUUACCAAGCCCAUUGACUAAUACCUAAAGAUUUUGGAGGUGAAUCUAGUCAAGUGGUAUUCAUGGUAACCGACUUAGAAGAAUCCUUCACUAAUAGGUAGUCAUAUUAGGGGGAAAGGAGUUGCUUGCCUAUAGCACUAAAGUUGCCUCUAUAGCACACAAAGUUUCUCAAGAAAAGUUAAUUGAAACCUAUUCAUAUGAGAUCUAGUUUGAAGAACUCGUCGCGAGGAACCCAAUAGUAAUAACGGAUCUAAGUUCUGACACUCGAAUCAAAAGUUAUGAUUUUUUGAAUUUUUUGAGACGCUAAUAAAUGCACGCAAUUUUCUUUUUGGGCUGUCCUCGCUAGCCGCUUGCGAGAUUAAAUAGAUGGCUCAACUUUAUUUUAUUUUAGGGAAGAUUCAUUAAAUCAAAACUUGUAAGACGGUUGGGGGUCUUCAAGGUCUGGUCAAAAACGUUGUGAAAUACCCCUGAGAAAACAUAGUACAUUGACUUUUAAGCUGAAAUUGUGAAGACUACGGAUGGUUGACAAGUUGUGAAUGCACAUACAUUCGUAGGACAAGUGAUGCUUCACAACAUAAGAUGGGUGUAGAUUUUCAUCUUAACUUUACUCUAACAAUCCGUUUUAGCGAAUUUAAUCUAACAAAUUGCUGUGUGCGUGAGCCAGUUACGUACAAGUGCUUGAAGCUCUAUACUUUACAUCUCAAUGAAACACUUCAUAGAUUUGGCUCCUCUUCCUGGUUUUUGAGUUUAUAUAAACCAUUGCAACUAUGAAUGUAAGAUAUCCACGUUCCUUUAUGCAGUUGUACAUAGGUUGCCACUUCACUUGAAUCUGACAAGUUACUGGAUGCGUGAGCCAACCACAUACAUGUGCCGGUAGCUGGAUACUUUACAAACAAUUCAUUGAUUUCUCUCCUCAUCCUUAUUUGGGAGUUUAUAUAAACCAUUGCAAGAACCGUGAAUAUAAAAUGUCCAUGUUCCCUUUAUGCACUUCUAGAUAGGUUGAGAUGGUGGAAUGACUAGCUAAUUUGCACCAGGAUGAAUGGUAUCAUAAGGUACUAACUAUUAGGCUUGGGAGGUUUUAGGACAACCAUUUCUAGCGGGAGUGGACUACUAUGUUGCUUCAUAUCAAAAUCAACAUAAAGGUCUGGAAGAUCUUGCACAUGUCAUUGCUGUCAUUCUUGCGGGUGCGAGCCCUGCCUGGCCCUGAAAGGAUCGUUGUGCACCGCACAAUGCAGGCGCCAUGCGUCCUGCGAGACCAACUGUCGCCAGCAGGAGGUGGCUUGCUUCUUCGGCUGCAACGAGUCUGCCGACGACUCAGGUUGUUGAACUAUGGCACAGAUGCAGAGCACUGUGCAAGCUGGGUCUCGCUGGUUCUCUAGCCGGGAAUCCUAACUGACUGCUAGCAAGAGUCAUUUUUCUACCAUACUGCUAGGCACUUGAUGUACCGCUCUUACUUUCACCGCAUGUGGUUACUUUGAUAUUUGUUCCAUGUUUUAUGAUAUUUGCCGAAGUUUGUCCUGUUUUAGAUUAUUACUUCAUGAUUUUUUAAGUUCUUUUCUUAUGUUUCAAAAUGUAUCGAAUAUUUUGUUGUCACUAACAAAACUACUAAGAAAUAAUUGCACUCUUUAACAAAACAUAAAGGUAUCUUCAACACCCACGAUCAAAUCACUUAUAACCGUCUGGACAGCGUGGUCCGGUUAUGUUUUGUUUCUAAAGGGGUCCAGCAUCGCUCCGCUCGACGGUCUGGAUUGGCUUCUUCAACCCCAUGUGCAC